rnacentral:misc_RNA from 1 species
AGGCCAUCAUUGUAUGUAAAGUAUUUUAACAGUCAAUUCCUAAUAUCAGACUUAGGGCAUCAAAAUUUUCCCCACUUAUGUCUUUGACAUUCUCAUUAGGGACUCAGGAUCAAACCAUAGUCAAAACUGACUCAACAAGCAAUGCAACUUCUACAGGUGGCUCCCACCAACUUCCAUGGUAUAGCACUUAGUUCCACACUUCCCACAGGGUGGUUGCCCUAAUACCAUCCUAUCACAAACUCGAAUCAUGUGGAUUGUGGACUCCUCUUUGGUCCCUCGGCCCCAAAAUAUAUAUCCAAAAUUUUGUAUUAGCAAUUUGAGAUGAAACUGAGUCUAAUG